UUUCAAAGAGAACCCAUCAUCUUCUUCCGUUCACCAAACCAGAAAAACGGAUGUCCAACGAUGCAUCGCCAUUACUCCUGCAAUAACAGUCACUUUAUUAUCUGUUUAACGGCAUGGCUUUCUCUGGCUAUAAGAAGCCAGAGAAAGAAAGCAGAAAGGGAGAAAAAAAAAGGAGCCACGGGAAGGAGUCACAGAACCGGGGGGGAAGACGAAUAACGCAGGGGACUGGAAACAGAGAGGAAGAAAAACAGGGGGAGAGGCAGGUAACCAGAAACCGAAGAAAAGCAGGGAAAACAGGGGAGAAAACAGAGGAAAUUCCAAGAAACAGAGAGGCUAGCAGGAGGGGAGACUGGAGGAGCACGAACCGAAAACCAUAGCUAAAAAAACUCAGCCUAAGGCCAUUGCCUUCAUCUCUGCAGACAUCCCUGCAGAAAACGAAAGACCCGAAAACCAGAGCAAAAGAGACACAGAGAACAAAAAAAACCCAGAAGCAGAAUGAACAAAAGGAAGUAAACAGAGAGCUAAACCCAUCUUUGGUUUAGUCCCAGAAUUCAAUCACAACAUCCGAACAGAAGAGGAAAGCAGAGGAGAGCAGAGAGUAAGUAAAAAACCCAACAAACAGAAACACAAGAACAGAGGAGAAGAGACUGAGAGGAGGAGGAAGGGAGAAUUCUCCGGGAGUGCCCGAACUGUUGCUGUCGCCUGCGCCUUCGAAUCGCCAGG
rnacentral:lncRNA from 1 species